AUGAACGCUGGCGGCGUGCCUAAUACAUGCAAGUCGAGCGAACAGAUGAGGAGCUUGCUCCUCUGACGUUAGCGGCGGACGGGUGAGUAACACGUGGAUAACCUACCUAUAAGACUGGGAUAACUUCGGGAAACCGGAGCUAAUACCGGAUAAUAUAUUGAACCGCAUGGUUCAAUAGUGAAAGACGGUUUUGCUGUCACUUAUAGAUGGAUCCGCGCCGCAUUAGCUAGUUGGUAAGGUAACGGCUUACCAAGGCAACGAUGCGUAGCCGACCUGAGAGGGUGAUCGGCCACACUGGAACUGAGACACGGUCCAGACUCCUACGGGAGGCAGCAGUAGGGAAUCUUCCGCAAUGGGCGAAAGCCUGACGGAGCAACGCCGCGUGAGUGAUGAAGGUCUUCGGAUCGUAAAACUCUGUUAUUAGGGAAGAACAAAUGUAUAAGUAACUAUGCACGUCUUGACGGUACCUAAUCAGAAAGCCACGGCUAACUACGUG
rnacentral:rRNA from 1 species